GAAAUGCGAUAAGUAAUGUGAAUUGCAGAAUUCAGUGAAUCAUCGAAUCUUUGAACGCACAUUGCGCCCGCCAGCACUCUGGCGGGCAUGCCUGUUUGAGUAUCAUGAAAUCUUCAAAGUAAAUCUUUUGUUAACUCAAUUGGUUUCUACUUUGGUAUUGGAGGUCUUUGCAGCUUCACACCUGCUCCUCUUUGUUCAUUAGCUGGAUCUCAGUGUUAUGCUUGGUUCCACUCGGCGUGAUAAGUUAUCUAUCGCUGAGGACACUGUAAAAGGUGGCCAUGGUAAAUGCAGAUGAACCGCUUCUAAUAGUCCAUUGACUUGGACAAUACUUUUAUGAUCUGAUCUCAAAUCAGGUAGGACUACCCGCUGAACUUAAGC
rnacentral:misc_RNA from 1 species